GUAAACAGUAGUACAAAAAGGACUGAAAAUCCUUGUGUCGGUGGUUCGAUUCCACCUCUGGGCACCA
rnacentral:tRNA from 1 species